rnacentral:tRNA from 1 species
ACUUAUGUGGCUCAGACGGUAAAGUGUCUGCCUGCAAUGCAGGUGACCCGGGUUUGAUCCCUGGCUCGGGAA